rnacentral:rRNA from 1 species
UUACUGAGACGCGAGGACUUACCUGGGCUAGAAUGCUGGGAGACCGUGGGUGAAAGCUCACUUUGUAGCAAUACACUGCCAGUAAGGUGCUGCAUGGCUGUCGUCAGCUCGUGCCGUGAGGUGUUGGGUUAAGUCCCGCAACGAGCGCAACCCCCAUCACUAGUUGCCAUCAGGUAACGCUGGGAACUCUAGUGAAACUGCCGUCGUAAGACGUGAGGAAGGAGGGGAUGAUGUCAAGUCAUCAUGGCCUUUAUGCCCAGGGCUACACACGUGCUACAAUGGGGAGUACAAAGGGUUGCAACAUAGUGAUAUGAAGCUAAUCCCAAAAAACUCCUCUCAGUUCAGAUUGAAGUCUGCAACUCGACUUCAUGAAGCUGGAAUCGCUAGUAAUCGUAUAUCAGCAAUGAUACGGUGAAUACUUUCCCGGGCA